rnacentral:rRNA from 1 species
UCCUACGGGAGGCAGCAGUAAGGAAUAUUGGUCAAUGGGCGCAAGCCUGAACCAGCCAUGCCGCGUGCAGGAUGACGGUCUUAUGGAUUGUAAACUGCUUUUGCACAGGAAGAAACACUACCUCGUGAGGUAGCUUGACGGUACUGUGAGAAUAAGGAUCGGCUAACUCCGUGCCAGCAGCCGCGGUAAUACGGAGGAUCCAAGCGUUAUCCGGAAUCAUUGGGUUUAAAGGGUCCGUAGGCGGUCAGAUAAGUCAGUGGUGAAAGCCCAUUGCUCAAUGAUGGAACGGCCAUUGAUACUGUUUGACUUGAAUUACUUGGAAGUAACUAGAAUAUGUAGUGUAGCGGUGAAAUGCUUAGAGAUUACAUGGAAUACCAAUUGCGAAGGCAGGUUACUACAAGUGGAUUGACGCUGAUGGACGAAAGCGUGGGUAGCGAACAGGAUUAGAUACCCUGGUAGUCCACGCCGUAAACGAUGGAUACUAGCUGUUCGGAGCAAUCUGAGUGGCUAAGCGAAAGUGAUAAGUAUCCCACCUGGGGAGUACGUUCGCAAGAAUGAAACUCAAAGGAAUUGACGGGGGCCCGCACAAGCGGUGGAGCAUGUGGUUUAAUUCGAUGAUACGCGAGGAACCUUACCAAGGCUUAAAUGUAGAUUGACCGGUUUGGAAACAGACUUUUCGCAAGACAAUUUACAAGGUGCUGCAUGGUUGUCGUCAGCUCGUGCCGUGAGGUGUCAGGUUAAGUCCUAUAACGAGCGCAACCCCUGUUGUUAGUUGCCAGCGAGUCAUGUCGGGAACUCUAGCAAGACUGCCAGUGUAAACUGUGAGGAAGGUGGGGAUGACGUCAAAUCAUCACGGCCCUUACGCCUUGGGCUACACACGUGCUACAAUGGCCGGUACAGAGAGCAGCCACUGCGCAAGCAGGAGCGAAUCUACAAAACCGGUCUCAGUUCGGAUCGGAGUCUGCAACUCGACUCCGUGAAGUCGGAAUCGCUAGUAAUCGCGAAUCAGCAUUGUCGCGGUGAAUACGUUCCCGGGCCUUGUACACACCCC